UACGAAGGGAGCUAGCGUUGUUCGGAAUCACUGGGCGUAAAGCGCACGUAGGCGGAUGUGUCAGUCAGGGGUGAAAUCCCGGAGCUCAACUUCGGAACUGCCUUUGAUACAGCACGUCUUGAGUCCGAUAGAGGUGGGUGGAAUUCCUAGUGUAGAGGUGAAAUCGUAGAUAUUAGGAAGAACACCGGUGGCGAAAGGCGGCCCACUGGGAUGGUAACUGACGCUGAGGUGCGAAAGCGUGGGGGAGCAAAACAGG
rnacentral:rRNA from 1 species